GGCCUCAAACAUACUUAGCACAUGGUGCUUGCAGCUGCACCAGACUGCAGCUGCUCAUGCAGCUUUAUACCAUCACUGACUGCAUGCCUGUACCCCUGGCCCUGGGCUACCACUAGUGUUCCAUGUACACCAGCUAGGAUCUAGGAGUCAAGAGUCACCUGCAUCUGCAGCUUGAAAGAAAAGACAAUUGCAAAUUUUCUUAAAGAGUAGAUAGUACCACCAUCUCAAAGAAAAAAGUUAAGUUCCAUUGCAUGCUGUUGGCGCAUGGCAUGUACAUGAUCCCAAAACUCUCUGAAUUCACAGUUUACAAAUCACUGCUAUACCGUAUCGGCGUAUAACUCCACCAUGUACCAGCUUCAAAGAAAAAGGAUUUAAGUUAUGUUGCUCAUUGCUAAAUAAAUGUGUUUACGUGUUUCUUCCAGCUGCAGAUUUUACCGUACCUCGGCCCCACAAUGUGUACCAGCUAGGAGUCUACUUAACCACCUUCAUCGACUCAAAGAAACGACUUGCAAGUUAUGUCAGAUUCCAUAAAACUAUAUAGCUAGCUAGAGGGCAACUGUCCCUGGUUUUAACCUUCAUCUGUAGCAUACUGAUUUACGAGUUUGUGUCUUCAUGCACUGGUUUCGACUGGUCAACUUCGUCCAUGGGGUGAUAGCUAUUAUACUGAUUUACGAGUUUGUGUGUAUGUGUCCUCAUGUGUCAGUUACACUGGUUUCGACUGGUCAACUUCGUCCAUGGGGUGAUAGUUAGCAUACUGAUUUACGAGUUUGUGUGUAUGUGUCCUCACGUGUCAGUUACACUGGUUUCGACUGGUCAACUUCGUCCAUGGGGUGAUAGCUAGCACUGUAAUUUACCAGUUUGUGUGUAUGUGUCCUCAUGCGUCAGUUACACUGGUUUCAACUGGUCAACUUCGUCCAUGGGGUGAUAGCUAGCAUACUGAUUUACGAUUUUGUGUGUAUGUGUCCUCACGUGUCAGUUACACUGGUUUCGACUGGUCAACUUCGUCCAUGGGGUGAUAGCUAGCAUACUGAUUUACGAGUUUGUGUGCAUGUGUCCUCAUGUGUCAGUUACACUGGUUUCGACUGGUCAACUUCGUCCAUGGGGUGAUAGCUAGCAUUGUAAUUUACCAGUUUGUGUGUAUGUGUCCUCAUGUGUCAGUUACACUGGUUUCGACUGGUCAACUUCGUCCAUGGGGUGAUAGCUAGCAUUGUGUAAUUUACCAGUUUGUGUGUAUGUGUCCUCACGUGUCAGUUACACUGGUUUCGACUGGUCAACUUCGUCCAUGGGGUGAUAGCUAGCAUUGUAAUUUACCAGUUUGUGUGUAUGUGUCCUCAUGCGUCAGUUACACUGGUUUUGACUGGUCAACUUCGUCCAUGGGGUGAUAGCUAGCAUUGUAAUUUACCAGUUUGUGUGUAUGUGUCCUCAUGCGUCAGUUACACUGGUUUCGACUGGUCAACUUCGUCCAUGGGGUGAUAGCUAGCAUUGUAAUUUACCAGUUUGUGUGUAUGUGUCCUCACAUGUCAGUUACACUGGUUUCGACUGGUCAACUUCGUCCAUGGGGUGAUAGCUAGCAUUGUAAUUUACCAGUUUGUGUGUAUGUGUCCUCACAUGUCAGUUACACUGGUUUCGACUGGUCAACUUCGUCCAUGGGGUGAUAGCUAGCAUACUGAUUUACGAGUUUGUGUGUAUGUGUCCUCACGUGUCAGUUACACUGGUUUCGACUGGUCAACUUCGUCCAUGGGGUGAUAGCUAGCAUACUGAUUUACGAGUUUGUGUGUAUGUGUCCUCAUGUGUCAGUUACACUGGUUUCGACUGGUCAACUUCGUCCAUGGGGUGAUAGCUAGCAUACUGAUUUACGAUUUUGUGUGUAUGUGUCCUCAUGUGUCAGUUACACUGGUUUCGACUGGUCAACUUCGUCCAUGGGGUGAUAGCUAUAGCAUACUGAUUUACGAGUUUGUGUGUAUAUGUGUCCUCACGUGUCAGUUACACUGGUCAACUUCGUCCAUGGGGGUGAUAGCUUAUACUAUUUACAUUUUACACUACAUAUGUGUUGGUAACUAUAGUGACUUCAAUCUUUUGUUCUGUAGGGGCUUAUUGUGACGAAAAUGAUCUGAGGGAUGUAGCGUUCAUGAAACCAAACGAAACGCCUGCAGUUCACUGUACUGGAAUUUCAAGAAACGCUAAGUGAUGAACACUAAAAACAAUUUACUGACAGAAGAAAUGUAUUGUGCUGCAUGUCAUGUGAUCCAGUGAUCUUAUUCUAUCAUAAACUCA